CAGAAGACCAUUUUUUAUAUGGAAUGACUUUGGUGCCUAGACGGUGAAUGCAAAUGCCCACAGACUCCAUUGGUGCCACUGUUGUUUCCAGGUUAGGGGUGAUUGUCUUAAUAACAACAGCAUAAUCUCAUCCAAUGCUCAUUACAACUUUAUAAGGUCAGUGUUCUCAGUUGUAUUAAAGAAAAACCAAAUGUACCAGAUCUAGCCACUGGCCAUGACAGCAUGAACAUACCAAAUAAGGAACCCCUUAUGGAGAAAAAGGGCUAAGUGUGACAUUACAGAGCUGUAUCUCUCAAGUCUCCAAAACCUAGAAAAUUCUAUUGUGGAGCCCUACUCAAUUCAUUAAGAAGGAAGGAAGUUCUCCAAGAUAUUUCCAAGCUUGCCUGGACCCUCAGGAGCAUGUACAAUGGCAUCAGGGUGGUAGAAAGCAACAGAAGCCAUGGGAAGUGAGGCCACUCAGAGUGGCAGAGUCCAGAGGAAGUGACAAGACAGAGAUGCAGGAGGGUGAGGCACAGGGCAGAGACUGGAAUUCCACCUCCUUCCAGACCACCCUGUCCAAAGUCAUGUCCUUUUGCUUUUCCAACAACGAUGAUCCGCACCACUCAUGAUCUGCUUUUUGAUUUCCCAUCUACAGCCCACCUACUGCAGCCAGGCAAUAUAAUUUUUUGGAGAAAGAACCUCAAAACUGGAGAGAUUUCAGAGGCCAGUUAUUCCAACCUCUUACCCAAGGCAGGACCUAUCCUCUUUACUCCACUUGAUGUGAAGUUACUUAUCACUGUGUUUGGCAAAGUAGAUGCUCAAAAAAGCCCCUGGGACCUACACCUUCUGAGAUAGGAAACUUAGUACCUCAACUUUAGAUGUUCUAAAUGUUACAAACUCUUCUUGUUAUUGGACACAAAUUGUCCACCUUAUAAAUUUGUAUCAUUGGAUCUUCUCUCUGAAACCAAAUAGACUAAUUCCAUCUCCUUUUCACCAUAAUGUAAACAAAUAUAUACUUUUUUAUUUUGUAUGUUUAGAG